CGAUGAUGAGUGGGAUUUGAUAGUGGUUAGGUGUCUAGGUCUUUGUACGUUCCUUGCUACACAAGCCACGAACAAAGAGGGCCAGUUUUUGUCCGAGCUCGAUUGGGGGCCCAUUUAAAUUUUGUUCUCUCUUGGGCCGUUCGAAACCCACUUGGUUUUGAUCUAUUUGAGACCUUUAUUUUUCUUUUCUUUUUUUUCUUUUUUCCUUUUUAGGCCUGUCAAAUGCCUAAAUUAUUAUUAUUCUCAUGACUACUAUUACUACUAUUAAAUAUUAUUAUUAUCAUUUUUUACAGAAAAGCAAGAUUAAAGAAACAAUAUAUAAACAUGA
rnacentral:lncRNA from 1 species